rnacentral:miRNA from 1 species
UCGAAGGGAUGGCUGACUCCAGGCC